AGGACGGCGCGAAGAGGAGUGCGAAACCCGCGGAAGAGUCCCCAGGGAGACACUUAAGGGAAAUUAAACUGCAGAGUGCAAGAGAUGCCUCAGUCAAGUCAGCCAAAAACACGCGGGUCAUCCCCGAGCCCCAGAGAAUGACAGAGCCCCGAUGACACGGACACCUCGGCUGCUGUCACUUCCCUGGUUCGGGCCUCCCACAGGCUUUGAAUUGAAGGCGAGUGCCUCAGAAUUUGCAUCCAUUGUUCUGUCUUUCCUGGGAAGUUAUUCAUCCUGGUGGCCAGCCCACCGACAAAAUGGAUUUGGAUCUACUGGACCUGAAUCCCAGAAUUAUUGCUGCAAUUAAGAAAGCCAAACUGAAAUCGGUAAAGGAGGUUUUACACUUUUCUGGACCAGAUUUGAAGAGACUGACCAACCUCUCCAGCCCCGAGGUCUGGCACUUGCUGAGAACAGCCUCUUUACACCUGCGGGGAAGCAGCAUCCUUACAGGUAGGUGGGUCCUGGCAUCUCUGCCAGGGGUGACAUGUGGCUCCAGCAUCAUGGUCCCAGUGGUGCAGGGCGGGGGCUGUGCAGACUCCACCC
rnacentral:sRNA from 1 species